rnacentral:rRNA from 1 species
GGCUCAGGAUGAACGCUAGCUACAGGCUUAACACAUGCAAGUCGAGGGGCAGCAUUUUAGUUUGCUUGCAAACUAAAGAUGGCGACCGGCGCACGGGUGAGUAACACGUAUCCAACCUGCCGAUAACUCGGGGAUAGCCUUUCGAAAGAAAGAUUAAUAUCCGAUAGCAUAUUGAGAUCGCAUGAUUUUGAUAUUAAAGAAUUUCGGUUAUCGAUGGGGAUGCGUUCCAUUAGUUUGUUGGCGGGGUAACGGCCCACCAAGACUACGAUGGAUAGGGGUUCUGAGAGGAAGGUCCCCCACAUUGGAACUGAGACACGGUCCAAACUCCUACGGGAGGCAGCAGUGAGGAAUAUUGGUCAAUGGACGAGAGUCUGAACCAGCCAAGUAGCGUGAAGGAUGACUGCCCUAUGGGUUGUAAACUUCUUUUAUAUGGGAAUAAAGUAUUCCACGUGUGGGAUUUUGUAUGUACCAUAUGAAUAAGGAUCGGCUAACUCCGUGCCAGCAGCCGCGGUAAUACGGAGGAUCCGAGCGUUAUCCGGAUUUAUUGGGUUUAAAGGGAGCGUAGGUGGAUUGUUAAGUCAGUUGUGAAAGUUUGCGGCUCAACCGUAAAAUUGCAGUUGAAACUGGCAGUCUUGAGUACAGUAGAGGUGGGCGGAAUUCGUGGUGUAGCGGUGAAAUGCUUAGAUAUCACGAAGAACUCCGAUUGCGAAGGCAGCUCACUAGACUGCAACUGACACUGAUGCUCGAAAGUGUGGGUAUCAAACAGGAUUAGAUACCCUGGUAGUCCACACAGUAAACGAUGAAUACUCGCUGUUUGCGAUAUACAGUAAGCGGCCAAGCGAAAGCAUUAAGUAUUCCACCUGGGGAGUACGCCGGCAACGGUGAAACUCAAAGGAAUUGACGGGGGCCCCGCACAAGCGGAGGGACAUGUGGUUUAAUUCGAUGAUACGCGAGGAACCUUACCCGGGCUUAAAUUGCAAAUGAAUAAUCUGGAAACAGGUUAGCCGCAAGGCAUUUGUGAAGGUGCUGCAUGGUUGUCGUCAGCUCGUGCCGUGAGGUGUCGGCUUAAGUGCCAUAACGAGCGCAACCCUUAUCUUUAGUUACUAACAGGUCAUGCUGAGGACUCUAGGGAGACUGCCGUCGUAAGAUGUGAGGAAGGUGGGGAUGACGUCAAAUCAGCACGGCCCUUACGUCCGGGGCUACACACGUGUUACAAUGGGGGGUACAGAAGGCAGCUACCUGGCGACAGGAUGCUAAUCCCAAAAACCUCUCUCAGUUCGGAUCGAAGUCUGCAACCCGACUUCGUGAAGCUGGAUUCGCUAGUAAUCGCGCAUCAGCCAUGGCGCGGUGAAUACGUUCCCGGGCCUUGUACACACCGCCCGUCAAGCCAUGAAAGCCGGGGGUACCUGAAGUACGUAACCGCAAGGAGCGUCCUAGGGUAAAACUGGUA